UGGUUUUAUGACAUCAUUAUAUACUAUUAAAAAUGCUGUGAAACCCAGGGUAUAAUUUUAUCUGAGAAUGGAAAAACACUCAAGGAACUUCAGAUACAAGGAAAUGUCCACUGCGCCACUCUUGAAUUGUGCUAACAUUUCAAACCACAGAAUACAAAGUAUUGGUGGGCUCUUUGAUGAUUUAUUAUCAUACUGUACAUGCAAACUGCUUGACACGUUUCCCAGCAGUAGGUACACACUGCUUUUGGCAUGCUCUGACACACCUGAGAGAGCUUACACAAAAUAACGCAGGCCCCGCUAAGGUCAUGCCGACAGUUAGUCUCCCGACAUCCAUUUGCUCGUGUCGCACGCUCCGUUACCCUCCCGGAAGCACCAGGCAACGAGCAUUUGAACCGCUGCACUGCGUGCGUCGUCCAGCCUGAGUCCGCAAGGCGGCCGGCCGCGCCCCCCGCGUCCCCGGGCUGGGCGCCGAGUCUGGGCUCUCGGGUCUGCGGAGCCGGGCGCCCCGCCGUCUCGGCCGCUGAGAACGACACACACAGCUCGGUCAAAAGCAAACGUGUGGGACUCCGAUGAAUUCUCUACAGACAUUCUCUAUAUUUACACUUAUGGCCAGGGCACGCUUACAGGUUUACCUAAAAAACACCGUAAUGGAUCUUUGUAUUAAGGAUUGAUAGCACCGUUUUGACAGGUUUUAAAAAUGAAAUGUUGUCAGCUCUCCUUCCGGCACUUUCAAUCAGAAAUUGGGAAGGCAGAUAGUCUCGGCUGUGAAAACUGAAAUCUUGACACUUGUUCUUUGUCCUUCAAAGGACCUGUUUUGGCUCAUGGCUUGCGGUCUAAACUCCUACAGAUGUAGGAUUCCUGUCUACAGUGGUAUCCCAUCCUUCCACCUGACCCUCCACACUGCUGUGAGCUGCUUAGGUCUUUAGUCCAGAAUACUUUCAACAGUAACGUGAUACAGACUGCCCCCCCCCCCCAAAAAAAGAAAACAAACAACAGAGAAGGCAUAUAGACAAUGCCCCCUAAGUCUGGAAACCCUCCUAGGAUGUAUUCCUUUCUCAAAUGCCUGUGCACUGGGGUUGUGUCCCCACAGCGUCUGUCUUAGCUUCCCUUCCAUCACUCUGAUGACCGUCAGCCUUUGUCCCUUCCUUCAUUUGCCCUGAGAAACAUAAGGCAUUUACUAACCACAGAUGUCAUCUGAAACAAGCAAAGUGGCAAGAUGCCUAAAUGUAUAUAUACUGUUACCUAUUUCCUUUUCAAGUUUCCUGAAGAUGGACGUAAAACACUGCCUGCAAUGAGUAAAAAGGAAAUUACAGAAGGGUGUAUUAAGGGGCAAAACAGAGGGAGGGAGAAGACAGGCCUUCACAGGACCAGCUUGGAGUUUGGGGAAAGCAGCUCUGAGGGGUUUAAAUUCCGUUGUCUGAGGGUUAGCACAGGUUAUCUUUUGAAGUCUAAACUCCCAGUUAUAAUUCUAUCUCAGAUCUCGCAGGACUUGCCCUUUCAGGUCAGAUUUUUUUUUUUUUUAGAUGAGAUAAUUUAAAAGGUUAAAAUAACUACAAAAGCAGUAACUUUGACAUAGGCCUCUGUUGACAAAGCUUUAGCAAGUGGUUAGGUUACGUUGUAGAGUCACAGGGAGUUAUUCAGGUACUGGAGUUUUGCCAAAUUUACUCAAGUAACCACUGUCAUCCUUUAUUCCGCUUUGUCAGCGGAGACCUCGCCAAUGCAGUUUGUGCUUUAAGUGACUGAGGCUUUGUUUCAACUGGUGACUUGCAAAAAUGUCUCUAUGUGUUGGGUGAUUUUUGUUCUGCUUGGGGUGCACCGAGUCAGCCAGGUAUGUAGAUCACAGAAGGCUAGAUGCUGAGGGAACGCUGCACAGGUAUCUACCCAGAGUAAGAAAGUGGAGAGGAAGCCUGUCUGAUUCAGCUUUGCGCAUGAUUUAGGCUUACACACACUGAGCAGCGCUUCCCUGCAGAUUCAGCCUUUCAUACCUAGCACUGUUCACCACAUUUCUCAACUCGGUACAUUUCUCAGCCAAAUAUUCUUCCUCUUCCCUGCCUACAAAGCUUCCCCUCAUUCCUCAUGUUUAGAUGAUGUUCCCAGGAAGCUUUCUUUGAUCAUUCUAAGCAAAGGGAGCUUUCACUGCCUGCCUGGGUGGAGCACAGGUUAUAGAUACAGUUGCUUUUUCAACUACAAAGCUCACUCCUAGAGGGGAGUGUGGGUUUAAUUCAACUCUGACUCUUUCAUGGUACUUAAUUGCUUUUCAUGGAAAGUUUAUUGAGGAAAUGGGUUCCAGGCAUGGUCUGCUCCUAGAAAGCUUCAGAACCACUAAAUCAUUUCAUUAAAGUGUAUUUGUGAUGGAGGCCUGAUUCUCCCUAAACACAGUGUUUAACAUUAUUCUGGGAGGAAAAUUACCUAUUGACUUUGAUUUGUUCAUUUCUAAGGGAAGCUGGUGACCCAGAUAUUGAGAGAGAGGUAAAAAUGAUAAGCUUAAUUGACUAACUGCCUUCAAACCCUGGGCAGUGGAGGAGAACGGGUGGUGGGAGUGUGGAGCCGGUCUCAGGUUACCUCCCCUCUCCACUCCAGGAAAGGCUCCGUCCUGCUCACAUCAGUUGCGAGGAGCCAGCAGACAGCUCGUCUCUUUUUCCCGAGUUCUACAGUGUAUCCCAGUGGCUGCAGCAUAUUGAUUGCUGCAAGUUUAAACAAAACAGUAUGUUAUUUACGGUCAUGAUAUAAUUUUAGGUAUUCCUAAUAAGAAGUUGAUAAUAGGUCUUCUACUCAACAUCUCCUCUGUAACCUUUCGGCUAGAGAUAUUCAGAAUCAAACACAAAGGUCACAGGUACCUACAUCCUCAGUGUCUGGGCCCCUGCUUCCCUUAAGGCAGGUGAAAUGAACAGUUUUUCUGUGACAUAAAUAGAUUAAGGAAAGGGGCCCUCUUGGAUUUCUAAAUAAGUAAGAAAAAGAAGGGAAAGCAUUUGCUCAAAGCCUUCUCUUUUUGAAGAAAUGAAAUAUAUGACGACAUUCAGAAAAACAGGGAUUGUAAAGUAAAAAGUUAGCUGUUUGCCGCUUCCUGAGCUACAGAUAAGCAGGUCAAUACUGAAUCAUAACCAAGUCAAUUCAUACUGUAAACUUUUUCAGGAAUGAUGCCUUUUUGAAUUUUAGUUCUGUAGGGAAAGUUUACUAAGCCGUACUUCCAGCAAAAUUACUGCUGUGAAUAAUUAUUCACAGAAUUAUUGUUCUCCACAGAAAGAGACCUGUCCUAACUUCCUAAAAAGCAAAUGGGAUGAAGAACCGUAUGCUAAGAAGAAGUCUGGAGUACGGGAAACUGUUCCUAGCUGCUACCAAAAAGAAGCCUGCAAAAUCCCACUGAGGUUCUAUGUGCAGCCCUUCUUGAAUGAGGAAAUCUGUUCGCCCACCGUAGAUUUUGGUUUGUGAGAACAUGACUGGAUUCGUGGCUGUCCGAGACUCUGGCCUGCGGUCCAGAUUCCGGGGCCCAAAGAGGGAUGAGAGGAGCUGUGGCCAGCGGACGUGCAGGAAAGCACUGCUCUCUGAAGUCACGCUGGGAGACACGCCUCCUCUGAAGCACCUGAUGGAACAGACGUGGCCAACAGAGACUGUGCUCACUUAAGUCUGUGACAUUUCUGAGACAUUUUCUUUUCGGCCUCCUGCCAACUGCCCAGUGUGGGAAACGGAGGCAGCUCAGACCCACGCGCGGACACUCGCGUGUCCCUGCGCUCUCACAGUGCCCUGGCCCGGCGCUCUUCCCGACCAGCAGCCGCUGCUCGCAGGUGGCUGCUGGGCACGUGGUGCACCGAAACGCUAACACAUCCCACUUUUCAAAACUCAAUACAAAAAUAAAACAUGUAAAACAUUGUGUUAGUUCUUCAUACUGAUUAUAUAUUAGAAUAAUAGUUUGGAUAUAUUAAAAUAUACAGUUAAUUUUAUCAGCUUUUUUUUUUUUUUUACUUUUAAAAAUGUGUCUAAGAGAAAAGUUAAAAUUACACAUGUGGCUUGUAUCAUUCAUAUCAGGCGGGACUUUUUCUAGACAAUAACGUCUCUAACAGUGUCUAAUUUCUACCUUAUGUAUUUGUGGGACAAAUGUGCUCUUCUGGUUUGAGAAAAAAAAACCACUGGGAUUCCAAUUAGACUUUGUUAAUGGGGAAAAUAAUUCAAGAAUGUCCUUCUCUGUGGCAAAAUAGUCUGGUUUAUGCUAUGUAUCUGAACUUAUUUGAGAACAAAAAUCAAUAAUGCAAUAUAAAAACUGUCAGUUCUAAAAUGCAAAAUGUAGUUUAUUGUUUGCUGAAAUUCCCUUGAUUAUUUUGCUUUGUGACUAUAUCAUCAAAUAAAGGAAACAUUACAAAAUAA